GUAGCCUGGGAACUUUCAGAAUCAAGGGAAGAAACUGACCCCUGUUCAAGGACACAGAGCCAGAAACAAUGAGCGGCAGUUACAAAGAGGCAGAUGUGGUGUGGUGUCAGGGAAAAAACUCCCCAACAAUGAGACCUGUCCAAAGUUGGAUGGGCGGCUACCUCAAGAAGUUCUACCUCCUGGACUCUCUCUAAGCAGAGCUGGAUGACUACUUAUCAGGUAAUACCGGACACUGGAUGGGAACCAAUGGAUAUGGUCUGAUUCCCCAUUCUCAUUGUUCCUGUUGACCUAUUUAAUUUUCCACUUGGUUUUGGUCUUGAUCAUCAACUAUACCAAGUCUAUACCUCAAAAAGACCAAAAGAAAGAAGAAAAAAACCCAUAUAUGCAAAAUAUUUAUAGCUGCUCUUUUUGUGGUGGCAAA